rnacentral:rRNA from 1 species
UACGGAGGGAGCUAGCGUUGUUCGGAAUUACUGGGCGUAAAGCGCACGUAGGCGGCUUUGUAAGUUAGAGGUGAAAGCCUGGAGCUCAACUCCAGAAUAGCCUUUAAGACUGCAUCGCUUGAAUCCAGGAGAGGUGAGUGGAAUUCCGAGUGUAGAGGUGAAAUUCGUAGAUAUUCGCAAGAACACCAGUGGCGAAGGCGGCUCACUGGCCCGGUACUGACGCUGAGGUGCGAAAGCGUGGGGAGCAAACAGG